UGGGGAAUAUUGCGCAAUGGGGGAAACCCUGACGCAGCGACGCCGCGUGUGGGAAGAAGGCCUUCGGGUCGUAAACCACUGUCAGGAGGGAAGAAACGCAUGGGUUCGAAUAGGGCCUGUGCCUGACGGUACCUCCGGAGGAAGCACCGGCUAACUCCGUGCCAGCAGCCGCGGUAAUACGGAGGGUGCAAGCGUUAAUCGGAAUCACUGGGCGUAAAGCGCACGUAGGCGGUUUUGCAAGUCAGAGGUGAAAUCCCUUGGCUCAACCGAGGAAUUGCGUUUGAAACUGCAGGACUGGAGUACUGGAGAGGGUGGCGGAAUGCCCGGUGUAGGAGUGAAAUCCGUAGAUAUCGGGAGGAACACCAGUGGCGAAGGCGGCCACCUGGACAGAGACUGACGCUGAGGUGCGAAAGCGUGGGGAGCAAACA
rnacentral:rRNA from 1 species